AGGCAUCAGAGGUGGGCAAGACCCUGGCUCCCUGCAGCCCCUCCCCAGCACCCCAUGAAGGAGAUUGGCGACAUUUGAUGCAAAGCCUCAGCUGCUGGAGUAACGUGAUUAUAUGAGACUCUCAGCUUCCAUGACAACAAUAAGUGCAAAGCAGCAGCCGCGUGACCAGCUGUGCCGGGACCCCCCAAGCCGUGCUUGCCGAGCCCCCAGGCACCGCGCCCUCCGCCAGCUGCUGGGUGACGAUGCAGACGGCCCCCUGUGC